rnacentral:rRNA from 1 species
GAUGAACGCUAGCGGCAGGCCUAACACAUGCAAGUCGAGGGAGGAGCUUUCGGGCUUCGACCGGCGUACGGGUGCGUAACGCGUAUACAAUCUGCCUUUCACAUAGGGAUAGCCCGAAGAAAUUUGGAUUAAUACCUAAUGGUAUAUAGGAGUGGCAUCACAUUUAUAUUAAAGCUAAGGCGGUGAAAGAUGAGUAUGCGUUCUAUUAGCUAGUUGGAGAGGUAACGGCUCCCCAAGGCGACGAUAGAUAGGGGUUCUGAGAGGGAUAUCCCCCACACUGGUACUGAGAUACGGACCAGACUCCUACGGGAGGCAGCAGUGAGGAAUAUUGGACAAUGGUCGGAAGACUGAUCCAGCCAUGCCGCGUGCAGGAAGACGGCCUUAUGGGUUGUAAACUGCUUUUGCAGGGGAAGAAUAAGGACUACGAGUAGUUUGAUGACGGUACUCUGCGAAUAAGCAUCGGCUAACUCCGUGCCAGCAGCCGCGGUAAUACGGAGGAUGCGAGCGUUAUCCGGAAUCAUUGGGUUUAAAGGGUCCGUAGGCGGGCUAAUAAGUCAGAGGUGAAAGCGCUCAGCUCAACUGAGCAACUGCCUUUGAAACUGUUAGUCUUGAAUGGUUGUGAAGUAGUUGGAAUGUGUAGUGUAGCGGUGAAAUGCUUAGAUAUUACACAGAACACCGAUAGCGAAGGCAUAUUACUAACAAUUAAUUGACGCUGAUGGACGAAAGCGUGGGGAGCGAACAGG